rnacentral:rRNA from 1 species
CGACUGAGCGGCGGACGGGUGAGUAACGCGUGGGUAACCUGCCUUACACAGGGGGAUAACAGUUAGAAAUGACUGCUAAUACCGCAUAAGACCCCGGUACCGCAUGGUACAGAGGUAAAAACUGAGGUGGUGUAAGAUGGACCCGCGUCUGAUUAGGUAGUUGGUGAGGUAACGGCUCACCAAGCCGACGAUCAGUAGCCGGCCUGAGAGGGUGGACGGCCACAUUGGGACUGAGACACGGCCCAGACUCCUACGGGAGGCAGCAG